UGGGGAAUAUUGCACAAUGGAGGGAACUCUGAUGCAGCGACGCCGCGUGAACGAAGAAGGCUUUCGAGUCGUAAAGUUCUUUUAUAUGGGAAGAUAAUGACGGUACCAUAAGAAAAAGCCCCGGCUAACUACGUGCCAGCAGCCGCGGUAAUACGUAGGGGGCUAGCGUUGUCCGAAAUCACUGGGCGUAAAGGGUUCGCAGGCGGAAAUGCAAGUCAGGUGUAAAAGGCAGUAGCUUAACUACUGUAAGCAUUUGAAACUGCAUAUCUUGAGAAGAGUAGAGGUAAGUGGAAUUUUUAGUGUAGCGGUGAAAUGCGUAGAUAUUAAAAAGAAUACCGGUGGCGAAGGCGGCUUACUGGGCUCAUUCUGACGCUGAGGAACGAAAGCGUGGGUAGCAAACAGG
rnacentral:rRNA from 1 species